GUGAGGUGCAAACGUUACCGGAAUCAUUGGGCGUAAAGCGUCCGCAGGCGGCUAAUUAAGGUAAGAUGUUAAAAUCUUGAGGGCUCAACUUCAAGUCUGUAUCUUAAACUGGUUAGCUAGAGAAUUGGAGAGGCGAGUGGAAUUCUGUAUGUAGGGGUAAAAUCCGUAGAUAUACAGAGGAACACCAAAAAGCGAAGGCAGCUCGCUGGCCAAUUUCUGACGCUCAUGGACGAAAGCGUGGGGAGCAAACGGGAUUAGAUACCCCGGUAGUCCACGCCGUAAACGAUGAUCACUCGAUGUUGGGAGUUCGACCCUCUCAGUGUCCAAGCUACGCGAUAAGUGAUCCGCCUGGGGAGUACGGUCGCAAAGAUUAA
rnacentral:rRNA from 1 species